AGAGAAAAAGCAAACAAAUCCUUCAACAACAAAAGAAAAUGUGCUCACCGCGUUUUUCCUAUCUGAGAGAUACUUCCUUAGCUGUUAAAAAAACUCCUCACAACCCCUAAAAAUCCUCUCUUUUUUCAGUUUUAAUUCUUCCCCAAUUCUUGAAAAUUCAUUUCUAAAGCUUUCUUCAUCUCUGCUUCAAAGCUACUUCACCCCACCCACCCCCACAAUAUAAAUAAACUUUGAAGAAAUUGCUGAGUUUGUUCAGUUUUUCUGAAAUCAAGAAUGAUGGGUAAUAGAGAUCUGGAGAGGGGAGGUGGAACAAAGCCAAGAAAUGGGAGUUACCAACCACCCCCAACAACAGCAGCACCUUACUAUAUGGAAACUUCUGAAUCACAGUGGACUUCUUGGCUAGUCCCUAUGAUUGUUGUAGCCAAUGUAGCUAUGUUUAUUGUCAUCAUGUUUGUUAACAAUUGCCCAAGUAAUAUCAAUAAUUUUGGCAGAGGUGGAGGACGCCGCCAGUGUGUUGCCAGGUUUCUUGGGAGGCUUUCUUUUCAACCUCUUCAAGAUAAUCCACUUUUUGGACCCUCUUCAUCCACACUACAAAAUUUGGGAGCUCUAGAAUGGGAUAAAGUAGUGCACGGACAUCAGGGCUGGAGGCUUUUCACUUGUAUCUGGUUACAUGCUGGUGUUGUUCAUCUGCUUGCAAACAUGUUGAGUUUGGUAUUCAUUGGUAUUCGCCUCGAGCAG
rnacentral:misc_RNA from 1 species